UGGGGAAUCUUGCGCAAUGGGCGAAAGCCUGACGCAGCAACGCCGCGUGCGGGAUGACAGCCUUCGUGGUUGUAAACCGCUUUCAGUAGGGACGAAAAUGACGGUACCUGCAGAAGAAGCUCCGGCUAACUACGUGCCAGCAGCCGCGGUAAUACGUAGGGGGCAAGCGUUGUCCGGAUUCAUUGGGCGUAAAGAGCUCGUAGGCGGUUCAGUAAGUCAGGCGUGAAAGCUCCGAGCUCAACUCGGAGACGCCGUCUGAUACUGCUGUGACUAGAAUCCAGUAGAGGAGUGGGGGACUCCUGGUGUAGCUGUGGAAUGCGCAGAUAUCAGGAAGAACACCAGCGGCGAAGGCGGCACUCUGGGCUGGUAUUGACGCUGAGGAGCGAAAGUGUGGGUAGCAAACAG
rnacentral:rRNA from 1 species